UAGGGAAUCUUCCACAAUGGGCGCAAGCCUGAUGGAGCAACGCCGCGUGAGUGAAGAAGGUUUUCGGAUCGUAAAGCUCUGUUGUUGGUGAAGAAGGAUAGAGGCAGUAACUGGUCUUUAUUUGACGGUAAUCAACCAGAAAGUCACGGCUAACUACGUGCCAG
rnacentral:rRNA from 1 species